AGUAUUAGUUGGUACUGUAUGUGCCUUUAGGAUCCUCUCCAUGUGUAGGCUAUUGUACUGGCCUGUGUGGUACAGUCUUUCUUAUGUGUAGUAGUUUGUCACAUUGUAUAGCUUAGUUUAUCAUUUUUGUCUACUUUGAAUUAAAUCCAUGCCUGUUCCUCCAUUUUGCACUUGACUUUUUUAGACGCAGACCCGAAGACAUUUGAAGCAGCACUUUGAGAGCUAGCUGUCCUCAGUGCUUAAUUUGUAUUGUGAAUGGAUCAUUUGUGGAAAUGCUAUGAUCACUUAUCUUCUUUAACGUUGUGAUUCACAGACAAAUGAUGACCAUGAUUUGAAUGCUGCAACUAAGACGGAAUGACUUUGAGGGAGACAUGCUGAGACCCGAGUCUAAUUCCUCAAAUGGAAAAGCAGAAGAAUCUGUACACUCUCGGAUAAAAUUAACAGUUCAUAUGGUGCUCUUCGAUGUCCCAGGUUUGUGGCAGGACCAUGCCUCAGGACUACCUGGCCUGAUGACUACUUCCUGUCCCCAGUCCACCUGGUCGUGCUGCUGCUCCAGUUUCAACUGUUCUGCCUGCGGCUAUAGAACCCUGACCAGUUCACCGGACGUGCUACCUGUCCCAGACCUGCUGUUUUCAACUUUCUAGAGACAGCAGAAGUGGUAGAGAUCCUCUGAAUGAUCGGCUAUGAAAAGCCAACUGACAUUUACUCCUGAGGUGCUGACCUGUUGCACCCUCUACAACCACUGUGAUUAUUAUUAUUUGACCCUGCUGGUCAUCUAUGAACAUUUGAACAUCUUGGCCAUGUUCUGUUAUAAUCUCCCCCCGGCACAGCCAGAAGAGGGCUGGCCACCCCUCAUAGCCUGGUUCCUCUCUAGGUUUCUUCCAAGGUUCUUUCUAGGGAGUUUUUCCUAGCCACUGUGCUUCUACACCUGCAUUGCUUUCUGUUUGGGGUUUUAGGCUCGGUUUCUGUACAGAACUUUGUGACAUCAGCUGAUGUAAGAAGGGUUUUAUAAAUAAUUUGAUCAAUUGAUUAAUUGUUGCCAUUCAGGUGUUUGAUGUGGUGGCUAGGUGCAUUCUUGUCAAAUAAAUAUGCCAAAUAAAUAUGCUUAUUCAUUCAUGA